rnacentral:rRNA from 1 species
UACGUAGGGGGCUAGCGUUGUCCGGAAUCAUUGGGCGUAAAGCGCGUGUAGGCGGUUCGGUAAGUCCGCUGUGAAAGUCGGGGGCUCAACCCUCGAAUGCCGGUGGAUACUGUCGGACUAGAGUACGGAAGAGGCGAGUGGAAUUCCUGGUGUAGCGGUGAAAUGCGCAGAUAUCAGGAGGAACACCAAUUGCGAAGGCAGCUCGCUGGGACGUUACUGACGCUGAGACG